rnacentral:rRNA from 1 species
GUAGGUGGCAAGCGUUGUCCGGAAUUAUUGGGCGUAAAGCGCGCGCAGGCGGUUCUUUAAGUCUGAUGUGAAAGCCCACGGCUCAACCGUGGAGGGUCAUUGGAAACUGGAGAGCUUGAGUACAGAAGAGGAAAGCGGAAUUCCACGUGUAGCGGUGAAAUGCGUAGAGAUGUGGAGGAACACCAGUGGCGAAGGCGGCUUUCUGGUCUGUAACUGACGCUGAGGCGCGAAAGCGUGGGGAGCAAACAGGAUUAGAUACCCUGGUAGUCCACGCCGUAAACGAUGAGUGCUAAGUGUUAGGGGGUUUCCGCCCCUUAGUGCUGCAGCUAACGCAUUAAGCACUCCGCCCUGGGAGUAACGGCCGCAAGGCUG